GCCUGCUCGAAAAUGUACCUGUGGUCGCUGAAAAUAGGUGUCUUGGUUACCUUCUUAGCCUUGCUUAGUUCUUCUUCUCUUGGCGCUCAUCCUUCCAUCACAAGUAAAGAGCCAUGGGCGUCACGGCCGGCGACGCAUAUGAAACCAUUUAAAAUAUCUGAUGAUAUAUAAAAUACAAUUCUUUUAUAUAGUUUUACAACAGAAAUGAACUCCAAAUGAAAUUCUAUAUAAUUCUAUUAUACUGAAUAAAAUAAAGCGGAUAAUAAUUGAUUUUGAAA